rnacentral:tmRNA from 1 species
GGGGAUGUCGGGUUUCGACAGGCGGGCAGAUUGAAGAAUUGCAGGUCGAGGUGUCGGUAAGCACUCUCGUUAAACAACCGACAAAAAAUUAGUUGCCAAAAACAACGACUUUUCGUACGCUCUCGCUGCUUAAUAACCAGUGACGUACCGUCCGUCCGGCUUUUGCUCCAUGGGGCCGGGUACGGGCGUCAAAAAACAUAGAGAUGCUCUGACGAUGACUGUCUUCUAGUCGCCAGCUAAGACCAGAGGGCCAGCGUCCAGGUAUCCUGUCGGUGGGAGACCAGGACGAAAAGUAAAAACAUCGACUAUGCCUGUAGCACAUUCUCCGGUAGGUACGUUUGGACGGGGGGUUCAACUCCCCCCCAUCUCCACCA